rnacentral:rRNA from 1 species
AUUGAACGCUGGCGGCAGGCCUAACACAUGCAAGUCGAACGAGUGGUGGACGGGUGAGUAAUGUCUGGGAACCUGCCUGAUGGAGGGGGAUAACUACUGGAAACGGUAGCUAAUACCGCAUACCAUCGGAUGUGCCCAGAUGGGAUUAGCUAGUUGGUGGGGUAAAGGCUCACCUAGGCGACGAUCCGUAGCUGGUCUGAGAGGAUGACCAGCCACACUGGAACUGAGACACGGUCCAGACUCCUACGGGAGGCAGCAGUGGGGAAUAUUGGACAAUGGGCGAAAGCCUGAUGCAGCCAUGCCGCGUGUAUGAAGAAGGCCUUCGGGUUGUAAAGUACUUUCAGCGGGGAGGCGUUACCCGCAGAAGAAGCACCGGCUAACUCCGUGCCAGCAGCCGCGGUAAUAC